UCAUCUAACUCUCCCUCUCCUUUUGACCUUGCAGGAACUCCUUCCCUUAAUUUGACCAAACAGCCACCAAAGAGAGCCCCACCGUCGGCGCUGAAGAACCAACCUCCAUGAAGUCUGCUGCAACCUGAGCAAUCGGCGCUUUACCUGCAUCGAGGAGUCGCACUUUACUUGGAGCGCCGACAACCCUAGCCCACAUGAAGCCAGUUCCAGCACCGUUGCUGCCGCGCUCGGGCAUCGCUGCCGCUUCCCCUCGAGCCGUCGCUGACUCUUUCCCUCGCGCCGUCGCUGCCCCUGGAGAUGUAAUGGAGAGGUGGCUGAUGAUACCUAUCAUUAGUAUAAGGAAGAUAUUGAACUCAUGAAGUAUAUGAAUUUGGAUGCUUAUAGAUUCUCCAUUUCUUGGUCAAGAAUACUCCCAAGUCUGCAACCAUUUGUGACUAUUUUUCAUUGGGACGUUCCUCAGGCCUUGGAAGAUGACUAUAGUGAUUUUCUAAGCCCGCACAUUGCGUAAGUGACCCUAACUUCCAUCCAAAGCAGUUUAUCUAUCACUAUAUUGAAGGAGAGCUUCUAGAAAAAUAUAUGAUAAUUGGUUCAUAUGAGGAUGCAGAGAUGAUUUUAAGAACUAUGCUGAAGUUUGUUUCAAGGAAUUUGGUAACAGAGUGAAACACUGGAUCACUUUGAACGAACCCAAGAAUGUCAACAAAAAUGGCUAAAUCUGUAGAUGGUUAUAUUAUUACUAAGUGUUUAGUUGUUUGGAUUGGAUUUAAGCGAAGACAAUUUAAUUAUGUUGGAUGUUCAUUUUAUAAGAUAUGCGAAUGGUUAUUUUCAUUGUUGAGCGGAUGUUUGGUUGUCAUGUUGGAUGUCCUUUUAUUCAUGUAAUUGAUUAAUACAAUAAGAACUCUC